CUUGAGAGAGGUCAGCGUGAGCCCCUUGCCUCACACCGGCCCCUCCCACGCUGAGAGAGGUCAGUGUGAGCCCUUGCCUCACACCGGCCCCUCCCACGCGGACAGAGGUCAGCGUGAGCCCCUUGCCUCACACCGGCCCCUCCCACGCUGAGAGAGGUCAGUGUGAGCCCUUGCCUCACCCCGGCCCCUCCCACGUGGACAGAGGUCAGCGUGAGCCCCUUGUCUCACACCGGCCCCUCCCACGCUGAGAGAGGUCAGUGUGAGCCCUUGCCUCACACCGGCCCCUCCCACGCGGACAGAGGUCAGCGUGAGCCCCUUGCCUCACACCGGCCCCUCCCACGCGGACAGAGGUCAGCCCGAGCUCCUUGCCUCACACCGGCCCCUCCCACGCUGAGAGAGGUCAGUGUGAGCCCUUGCCUCACACCGGCCCCUCCCACGCGGACAGAGGUCAGCGUGAGCCCCUUGCCUCACACCGGCCCCUCCCACGCUGAGAGAGGUCAGUGUGAGCCCUUGCCUCACACCGGCCCCUCCCACGCGGACAGAGGUCAGCGUGAGCCCCUUGCCUCACACCGGCCCCUCCCACGCUGAGAGAGGUCAGCCCGAGCCCCUUGCCUCACACCGGCCCCUCCCACGCUGAGAGAGGUCAGCCCGAGCCCCUUGCCUCACACCGGCCCCUCCCACGCUGAGAGAGGUGUGAGCCCCUUGUCUCACACCGGCCCCUCCCACGCGGACAGAGGUCAGCGUGAGCCCCUUGCCUCACACCGGCCCCUCCCACGCUGAGAGAGGUCAGUGUGAGCCCUUGCCUCACACCGGCCCCUCCCACGCGGACAGAGGUCAGCGUGAGCCCCUUGCCUCACACCGGCCCCUCCCACGCUGAGAGAGGUCGGUGUGAGCCCUUGCCUCACACCGGCCCCUCCCACGCGGACAGAGGUCAGCGUGAGCCCCUUGCCUCACCCCGGCCCCUCCCACGCUGAGAGAGGUCAGUGUGAGCCCUUGCCUCACACCGGCCCCUCCCACGCGGACAGAGGUCAGCGUGAGCCCCUUGCCUCACCCCGGCCCCUCCCACGCUGAGAGAGGUCAGUGUGAGCCCUUGCCUCACACCGGCCCCUCCCACGCGGACAGAGGUCAGCGU
rnacentral:lncRNA from 1 species